rnacentral:rRNA from 1 species
UACGUAGGACCCAAGCGUUAUCCGGAGUGACUGGGCGUAAAGAGUUGAGUAGGCGGUCUGUAAAGCGAGCAGUGAAAUCUGAUGGCUCAACCAUCAAUCCAUUACUCGAACUCACAGACUCGAGAGUAGUAGAGGUACCUGGAAUUCCCUGUGUAGGAGUGAAAUCCGUAGAUAUAGGGAGGAACACCAAUGGCGUAGGCAGGGUACUGGACUAUUUCUGACGCUAAGGCACGAAAGCGUGGGGAGCGAACCGG